rnacentral:rRNA from 1 species
GACGAACGCUGGCGGCGUGCUUAACACAUGCAAGUCGAACGGAAAGGCCCUGCUUGCAGGGUACUCGAGUGGCGAACGGGUGAGUAACACGUGGGUGAUCUGCCCUGCACUUCGGGAUAAGCCUGGGAAACUGGGUCUAAUACCGGAUAGGAGCCAUUUUUAGUGUGAUGGUUGGAAAGUUUUUUCGGUGUAGGAUGAGCUCGCGGCCUAUCAGCUUGUUGGUGGGGUAAUGGCCUACCAAGGCGGCGACGGGUAGCCGGCCUGAGAGGGUGGACGGCCACAUUGGGGCUGAGAUACGGCCCAGACUCCUACGGGAGGCAGCAGUGGGGAAUAUUGCACAAUGGGCGCCAGCCUGAUGCAGCGACGCCGCGUGGGGGAUGACGGCCUUCGGGUUGUAAACUCCUUUCGCUAGGGACGAAGCUUUUUGUGACGGUACCUAGAUAAGAAGCACCGGCUAACUACGUG